rnacentral:rRNA from 1 species
GAGAGCUUGCUCUUCUGAUUAGUGGCGAACGGGUGAGUAACACGUGAGUAACCUGCCCUUGACUCUGGGAUAAGCACUGGAAACGGUGUCUAAUACCGGAUACGAGCUUCAGCCGCAUGGCUAGGAGCUGGAAAGAAUUUUGGUCAAGGAUGGACUCGCGGCCUAUCAGCUAGUUGGUGAGGUAACGGCCCACCAAGGCGACGACGGGUAGCCGGCCUGAGAGGGUGACCGGCCACACUGGGACUGAGACACGGCCCAGACUCCUACGGGAGGCAGCAGUGGGGAAUAUUGCACAAUGGGCGAAAGCCUGAUGCAGCAACGCCGCGUGAGGGACGACGGCCUUCGGGUUGUAAACCUCUUUUAGUAGGGAAGAAGCGAAAGUGACGGUACCUGCAGAAAAAGCACCGGCUAACUACGUGCCAGCAGCCGCGGUAAUACGUAGGGUGCAAGCGUUGUCCGGAAUUAUUGGGCGUAAAGAGCUCGUAGGCGGUUUGUCGCGUCUGCUGUGAAAACCCGAGGCUCAACCUCGGGCCUGCAGUGGGUACGGGCAGACUAGAGUGCGGUAGGGGAGAUUGGAAUUCCUGGUGUAGCGGUGGAAUGCGCAGAUAUCAGGAGGAACACCGAUGGCGAAGGCAGAUCUCUGGGCCGUAACUGACGCUGAGGAGCGAAAGCAUGGGGAGCGAACAGGAUUAGAUACCCUGGUAGUCCAUGCCGUAAACGUUGGGAACUAGAUGUAGGGGCCAUUCCACGGUUUCUGUGUCGCAGCUAACGCAUUAAGUUCCCCGCCUGGGGAGUACGGCCGCAAGGCUA